rnacentral:lncRNA from 1 species
CCAACCAUCUGGUUCUGGGCUAUUCUUUAUGUAAAUAAAUAAUGUGAAGUAAAUAAUGUUUGUUGAGUAAGGAAUACACAGGUCUCUGUAACAACAAAUAUUUUUUCAUCUUUGUCUUAUCAAAAGAAUGGGAACACCUUCAAACACACUGCAGUGUUACCAUCAUCACACAGGUGUGUUGCACAGUGAAUUCACCCACUGUGGUCAGCUAGUACUGUUCAUUAUCUGGACACACAGAUGAGCCUGAAGCCGAUGCUUCAGGUACCAAAUAGCAAUGUAAAAGCCUUCUGAAUCAAGUCUUCUAGGUAAACAUAGAGUAUACUGUACUAUAGAGAAACCCUGUAGGUUGUGACAAGCUUCUGAAGCUUCAUGAUGAUGAUGAUUUUCACAUUUGAGAAACCCUAGUUCCGGUUCAAAGCAAAUUGGGAUCUGCACUCGUUAAUUUUCUUUGUUCGUGUUCAGUGAAAGAAAUCACCUUCUGAUCCUGCCUUUCUGUUUUUCCUUCUUUAGAUAAAAUACAAACUUUAGCAGUGUUGUUGGGUUUUUUGUCUACUUUAAAUGUGUAAUUUUUAACUUCCUGUUGUUUUCUCUUUAUCUUUAACACUAAUGGGUGCAUAGUUGCAGCCAGGCUAAGUCUAGGACAGUUUUGUUAUAAAAUGCACUACUUAUUUUGACAACUAUUUAUUUUACGUGUAAGAGGGAGAGAGAGUAAAACUGUGGUUUGCUCAUAGGCCUAGUUAUUAAUGUUUUGUCAUGUGCUUUUUUCCUGAUUCCAGUUAGUUCCCCUGUGACCGUGGACAAUCCUUUCUGCCAUGCUGCCCUCCUUAUAAAGGUAAUAUGAGAAUUAGUUGGAGUCAAAUUCUCUCUCAGACACAGCCAAACAGCUUCACUAACAGAGCAAGAAUUAUAAAUAUCCAUCUAGGAAGGACAAACUAAGUAAAGGGAUUUUAUAUGGAAAGUGCUUUGAAAACAAAGAGCGCAUAACAUAAAUGCUAAGCACCAUUGUAUUUAUAACCAACAAAAAAGCUUUUAUGACUAUAUGGAAAGUCUGAAGAUUAGCUAAAGAAUUUGAAAUAUCAUGGCAAAUAAGGCAACUCUUUCUAUAGUACCACCUUCAGACAAACACACUGACUUUCAGCAUCUUCUCACUCAGACUGUGUUCUCAGUCUGUACACAGGAAGGAAAAGUAGAGUACUUGUGCAUUCAGGACCCUGAAAUGAGGACUUCAUCAAAAAAUGUAUCUUAAAUAUCAUUGUUCUCUGCACUGAAUACAAGGGUUAUUAGAAGACUUUCACCUUUUACCACUUCGCCACUUAGAAAGAAAAAUCUGAGGGAAUGAAAUCUGUUCUGUGAACCCUUAUUUCAUACUAAGGUUGCCCAUAACUUUCUAAGACGUGGCAUUAGUAAAUGACCUCGACUUUCCAAACAGUACCCCAAGUACUAUAGUAUGGCCAAACACCUGCUGUCACUGAAACAGAAUGGCACAAUACUUUUUGAUAUGAAUGAACCUAAUGAUCCAUGUGUACUGCAGUUAAUAUUGUUAAACAUUAAGUUGUGUCGUGUUGGUGUGGUACACUAACUUGAACUCAUAUGCAGCAAAGCAAACAAUCUCACCAGUAUUUUUUAAUGCAAAGUUUCAACUUUAGGCCUUAGAAUUCAAGAUGCUGACGGGGAGCCUGGAAUUUUGCUCCUCCUAGCAGUAAUUCAAUUAAAAACAAAGAUGUGGUAAUAUUGUCACCUAAAAAAGAGCAAUGUAUGUGAAAGCUAUUAACCAGAAUGUGGCAGCAAGCAGGAAAAAACUUGUUCAACAAAUUCCAAAGAUGCCUCAAACAUCGAUAUUCUCCAACUAAUAUAUUCCAUGGUUCUAGAAAGACAGCAUUUCACUUGUCCACACAUACAGAAUGCUGCAAGAAAUAGGUAUUGGAAGCAAACUGGAAUGCUCUCACCUGUUCAUACAGCUAAGGUCAUUAUAACGUGUGCAUGUGUGCAAAUGUGUCUGCAUCUGCAUCUAAUAAAAACUACCUCACUUCCCAUUUUCCAGGAACAAUAUUUUGGCUUAGAGGUUUAAUAUUCCAAAGCUUUCUAUUAGUAAUUAUACCUCUGUAUUAGUCUUUUACAUAGAUAAAAUAUUUCUUGCUGUAGGGGACAGGACUUGGAAAUAACCUCUAUAUAUUAAAAAGCAUAUUCGAGGGUAGGGACAAAACUAUCCAAACCCUGCUGCCUCACUGACAAACAGUGUUUCAGUUUUAUUUUUCAAUGGCUUUUCCAUUAAUGUCUGUCUUCUCUGGAAAAUAAUACAAUGCCACUAAGCAAAGCAAAAUGUCUGCAUGUACAUUUUCCUUACGCUCCUUUUUAUAAUGUUAAGUGUUUGUUGAUGUAAGCCCACAUAUUAGUGUAUUCUGUACAGCAGAAUGUGUCCAUUGUAUUUGUAUUCAUGUCAAAA